rnacentral:rRNA from 1 species
GAUGAACGCUGGCGGCGUGCCUAAUACAUGCAAGUCGAGCGAACAGACGAGGAGCUUGCUCCUCUGACGUUAGCGGCGGACGGGUGAGUAACACGUGGAUAACCUACCUAUAAGACUGGGAUAACUUCGGGAAACCGGAGCUAAUACCGGAUAAUAUAUUGAACCGCAUGGUUCAAUAGUGAAAGACGGUUUUGCUGUCACUUAUAGAUGGAUCCGCGCCGCAUUAGCUAGUUGGUAAGGUAACGGCUUACCAAGGCAACGAUGCGUAGCCGACCUGAGAGGGUGAUCGGCCACACUGGAACUGAGACACGGUCCAGACUCCUACGGGAGGCAGCAGUAGGGAAUCUGCCGCAAUGGGCGAAAGCCUGACGGAGCAACGCCGCGGGAGUGAUGAAGGUCUUUGGAUCGUAAAACGCUGUUAUUAGGGAAGAACAAAUGUGUAAGUAACUAUGCACGUCUUGACGGUACCUAAUCAGAAAGCCACGGCUAACUACGU